AUUGAACGCUGGCGGCAGGCCUAACACAUGCAAGUCGAGCGAGUGGCAGACGGGAGAGUAAUGUGUGGGAAACUGCCUGAGGGGGGGGGAAAACUACGGGACACGGUAGCUAAUACCGCAUAACCUCAGAUGUGCACAGAUGGGAUUAGCGAGUUGGUGGGGUAACGGCUCACCAAGGCGACGAUCCAUAGCUGGUCUGAGAGGAUGACCAGCCACACUGGAACUGAGACACGGUCCAGACUCCUACGGGAGGCAGCAGUGGGGAAUAUUGCACAAUGGGCGCAAGCCUGAUGCAGCCAUGCCGCGUGUGUGAAGAAGGCCUUCGGGUUGUAAAGUACUUUCAGCGGGGAGGCGUUACCCGCAGAAGAAGCACCGGCUAACUCCGUGCCAGCCGCCGCGGUAAUUC
rnacentral:rRNA from 1 species